UUGAUAACACUUUGUUGCUGAUUUCAUGCACAUAGCCAUCAUAACAAUAGACGGUCAUUUUGUUUUUAAAGGAUGAAAUUUAUUGUUGAGUUAUUGUAGUAUGUAGUUUUAAAGGAGCUAUGUCAUGAUAUUUUAAGCCAUUUUGCUGAUGUACAAAAGUUACUUUCAAAUUUAGUUUUCUAAGUUAGAAAAACACCAAAGAGGUAACAAUAAACCAAAAAGGAACAAGGAUGGUCAAGAUUGGGCAAGAUUGAGAAUGGCAGACUUGAAAAACUUGGCCAAAUUUUUAAGAUGCGCUGUCUGUGAUGUAAGCUGGGUUUUUUGUACAUGUAUGUUGGGAAAGUUCCAGAAGCUCUGGGAUUUCGCUGUUUCGUGAUCGUCCCAGAUUUUGCCAAUUUAUGUUUUCAUAUGUUGGGAAUGAUUGCAGAAAUCUGGCCGCCAUCAGGUAAAUAGAAGCACUCCCGAUUUAUCCCCGACCAUCUCAGAUGAUCAGGGAUAUGUAUGAUUUUGUGUUUUCAUAAAGCCCUGGUGAAAUGGUGCAUGAUAGUCGAACUGUCAUAGUUUUAAUGAUCACACCAACCUUGAGGUUACCCAAGCAAUCGAAAGAGGUGUCAGAGCAACAUUAGCUUUCUAAAAGGCUGAUCCUGUCAUAUUAGAGUGUGCCUUUAAGACACUUUAAAACCCUCAAUGCAAAAAUCAGAGGAGUUGUUAACCCAUGUGAGGAAUGAGGAAUUUCCCCAAGUGGCAAACAAGCAGGAUGAAAGUGUAAUAAAUUCUAGGAGGAAUCAAAGGGGUUACAAUGUGAGUGAAUAAUGGUUUACUUAUAAUCCUAAACAGAAAUGACUAAAAAUUUUUAUCACAUGACCAAUAUUUUUUUUUUUUGUUUUGACCAGGUGUGUUUUCACUUGUAUCAGUUUCAAAACUUUAGUGUCAACAACACUAUAAGGAAAAUAAUUAGCUACUGUGGUGAUUGUUGUAAAAAAAUUUGGAUUUGAUAGCUUGAAAGUUAAUUUUCUAGCCAAAAAUAAAGCCUCUGAUGCUUACAGUCAAACUGGAUAUACUUUUGAUUGCAAGCUUUUGCCUCAUCAUUCAUAUUUGAUUGACAGUUUGAGUCGAGCAAGUUUCAAGCUUUACAAGCAAGUUGCAACUUUCACUAUCAAAUUUGUUGAAGCAAGUUUCCAAGUUCCUGUUUUCAUUUUGCAGUAUAAAACAAGGUAAUACCAGCUCUGUUUCAAAGAAACAGUAAAUUCAGUCAGCUGUCACCAGCCUGUUUAUCGAGAGACUGUGAGAAAUAAGUGACGGGCUUAGUUAAAUUAGCAAAACCAGGAAUCGUGCUUCAAAAUUAAAAGUGUAAGACAUAACCUUGCAGGACAGAUCUAAAUUUUUAAGGGAAAUUCACAGUUUGGCAAUUUGGAGCUAAGCCUGUCACUAUUUCAUCGCAGUCUGUUGAUUAACAGCAAAUAUUAGGCAAUAUCAUUCUGUUUAUUUGAAACUGAGUUUGUCUUACCUGACUUUAUAUGGCAAAAUGAAAACCAGAGCUUGAGAACUUACUCCACCAAAUUCAAAUUGAAAGUUUCAAACUGCUCACAUAGGUUGCAGUUUGCUCGACUCAGACUGUCAUCAAAUACCAAUGUUGAGGCAGAAGUUUGCAAGGUUGCCAUCAAAAGAACAUCUGGUUAACAUUUGACUAUAGAAAUUUAUAGUCAAACUGGUUGCCUCCUGAUAGGAACUCUAGAAUAUUGCUUUGUGGUAUUGUGAAAA